CGGCGUGCCUAAUACAUGCAAGUAGAACGCUGAAGAGAGGAGCUUGCUCUUCUUGGAUGAGUUGCGAACGGGUGAGUAACGCGUAGGUAACCUGCCUUGUAGCGGGGGAUAACUAUUGGAAACGAUAGCUAAUACCGCAUAACAAUGGAUGACACAUGUCAUUUAUUUGAAAGGGGCAAUUGCUCCACUACAAGAUGGACCUGCGUUGUAUUAGCUAGUAGGUGAGGUAACGGCUCACCUAGGCGACGAUACAUAGCCGACCUGAGAGGGUGAUCGGCCACACUGGGACUGAGACACGGCCCAGACUCCUACGGGAGGCAGCAGUAGGGAAUCUUCGGCAAUGGGGGCAACCCUGACCGAGCAACGCCGCGUGAGUGAAGAAGGUUUUCGGAUCGUAAAGCUCUGUUGUAAGUCAAGAACGAGUGUGAGAGUGGAAAGUUCACACUGUGACGGUAGCUUACCAGAAAGGGACGGCUAACUACGUGCCAGCAGCCGCGGUAAUACGUAGGUCCCGAGCGUUGUCCGGAUUUAUUGGGCGUAAAGCGAGCGCAGGCGGUUUGAUAAGUCUGAAGUUAAAGGCUGUGGCUCAACCAUAGUUCGCUUUGGAAACUGUCAAACUUGAGUGCAGAAGGGGAGAGUGGAAUUCCAUGUGUAGCGGUGAAAUGCGUAGAUAUAUGGAGGAACACCGGUGGCGAAAGCGGCUCUCUGGUCUGUAACUGACGCUGAGGCUCGAAAGCGUGGGGAGCGAACAGGAUUAGAUACCCUGGUAGUCCACGCCGUAAACGAUGAGUGCUAGGUGUUGGAUCCUUUCCGGGAUUCAGUGCCGCAGCUAACGCAUUAAGCACUCCGCCUGGGGAGUACGACCGCAAGGUUGAAACUCAAAGGAAUUGACGGGGGCCCGCACAAGCGGUGGAGCAUGUGGUUUAAUUCGAAGCAACGCGAAGAACCUUACCAGGUCUUGACAUCCCGAUGCUAUUUCUAGAGAUAGAAAGUUACUUCGGUACAUCGGUGACAGGUGGUGCAUGGUUGUCGUCAGCUCGUGUCGUGAGAUGUUGGGUUAAGUCCCGCAACGAGCGCAACCCCUAUUGUUAGUUGCCAUCAUUCAGUUGGGCACUCUAGCGAGACUGCCGGUAAUAAACCGGAGGAAGGUGGGGAUGACGUCAAAUCAUCAUGCCCCUUAUGACCUGGGCUACACACGUGCUACAAUGGUUGGUACAACGAGUUGCGAGUCGGUGACGGCAAGCUAAUCUCUUAAAGCCAAUCUCAGUUCGGAUUGUAGGCUGCAACUCGCCUACAUGAAGUCGGAAUCGCUAGUAAUCGCGGAUCAGCACGCCGCGGUGAAUACGUUCCCGGGCCUUGUACACACCGCCCGUCACACCACGAGAGUUUGUAACACCCGAAGUCGGUGAGGUAACCUUAUGGAGCCAGCCGCCUAAGGUGGGAUAGAUGAUUGGGGUGAA
rnacentral:rRNA from 1 species